CGAAUUGUAGUCUGGAGAAGCGUCC
rnacentral:ncRNA from 3 species